rnacentral:rRNA from 1 species
AUGCCUAGGAAAUUGCCCUGAUGUGGGGGAUAACCAUUGGAAACGAUGGCUAAUACCGCAUGAUGCCUACGGGCCAAAGAGGGGGACCUUCGGGCCUCUCGCGUCAGGAUAUGCCUAGGUGGGAUUAGCUAGUUGGUGAGGUAAGGGCUCACCAAGGCGACGAUCCCUAGCUGGUCUGAGAGGAUGAUCAGCCACACUGGAACUGAGACACGGUCCAGACUCCUACGGGAGGCAGCAGUGGGGAAUAUUGCACAAUGGGCGCAAGCCUGAUGCAGCCAUGCCGCGUGUGUGAAGAAGGCCUUCGGGUUGUAAAGCACUUUCAGUCGUGAGGAAGGUGGUGUAGUUAAUAGCUGCAUUAUUUGACGUUAGCGACAGAAGAAGCACCGGCUAACUCCGUGCCAGCAGCCGCGGUAAUACGGAGGGUGCGAGCGUUAAUCGGAAUUACUGGGCGUAAAGCGCAUGCAGGUGGUUUGUUAAGUCAGAUGUGAAAGCCCGGGGCUCAACCUCGGAAUAGCAUUUGAAACUGGCAGACUAGAGUACUGUAGAGGGGGGGUAGAAUUUCAGGUGUAGCGGUGAAAUGCGUAGAGAUCUGAAGGAAUACCGGUGGCGAAGGCGGCCCCCUGGACAGAUACUGACACUCAGAUGCGAAAGCGUGGGGAGCAAACAGGAUUAGAUACCCUGGUAGUCCACGCCGUAAACGAUGUCUACUUGGAAGGUUGUGGCCUUGAGCCGUGGCUUUCGGAGCUAACGCGUUAAGUAGACCGCCUGGGGGAGUACGGUCGCAAGAUUAAAACUCAAAUGAAUUGACGGGGGCCCGCACAAGCGGUGGAGCAUGUGGUUUAAUUCGAUGCAACGCGAAGAACCUUACCUACUCUUGACAUCCAGAGAACUUUCCAGAGAUGGAUUGGUGCCUUCGGGAACUCUGAGACAGGUGCUGCAUGGCUGUCGUCAGCUCGUGUUGUGAAAUGUUGGGUUAAGUCCCGCAACGAGCGCAACCCUU